GCUCAACCGGGGAGGGUCAUUGGAAACUGGGGAACUUGAGUGCAGAAGAGGAGAGUGGAAUUCCACGUGUAGCGGUGAAAUGCGUAGAGAUGUGGAGGAACACCAGUGGCGAAGGCGACUCUCUGGUCUGUAACUGACGCUGAGGCGCGAAAGCGUGGGGAGCGAACAGGAUUAGAUACCCUGGUAGUCCACGCCGUAAACGAUGAGUGCUAAGUGUUAGAGGGUUUCCGCCCUUUAGUGCUGCAGCAAACGCAUUAAGCACUCCGCCUGGGGAGUACGGUCGCAAGACUGAAACUCAAAGGAAUUGACGGGGGCCCGCACAAGCGGUGGAGCAUGUGGUUUAAUUCGAAGCAACGCGAAGAACCUUACCAGGUCUUGACAUCCUCUGACAACCCUAGAGAUAGGGCUUCCCCUUCGGGGGCAGAGUGACAGGUGGUGCAUGGUUGUCGUCAGCUCGUGUCGUGAGAUGUUGGGUUAAGUCCCGCAACGAGCGCAACCCUUGAUCUUAGUUGCCAGCAUUCAGUUGGGCACUCUAAGGUGACUGCCGGUGACAAACCGGAGGAAGGUGGGGAUGACGUCAAAUCAUCAUGCCCCUUAUGACCUGGGCUACACACGUGCUACAAUGGAUGGUACAAAG
rnacentral:rRNA from 1 species